GUGCCAGCCGCCGCGGUAAUACGUAGGGGCCGAGCGUUGUCCGGAGUUACUGGGCGUAAAGCGCGCGCAGGCGGCUGUUCAAGCCUGACGUGAAAGCCCCCGGCUCAACCGGGGAGGGUCGUCGGGGACUGGGCAGCUUGAGGUCGGCAGGGGCUGGUGGAAUUCCCGGUGUAGUGGUGAAAUGCGUAGAGAUCGGGAGGAACACCCGUGGCGAAGGCGGCCAGCUGGGCCGGACCUGACGCUGAGGCGCGAAGGCGUGGGGAGCGAACGGGAUUAGAAACCCUUGUAGUCC
rnacentral:rRNA from 1 species